rnacentral:tRNA from 1 species
GCGCUAAUAGCUCAGUUGGGAGAGCGUCAGACUGGUAAUCUGAAGGUCACCCGUUCAAUCCGGGUUUGGCGCA